rnacentral:rRNA from 1 species
GGGCCUACGGGACGCAGCAGUGAGGAAUAUUGGUCAAUGGGCGCGAGCCUGAACCAGCUAAGUCGCGUGAGGGAAGACGGUCCUAUGGAUUGUAAACCUCUUUUGUCGGGGAGCAAAAGACGCCACGCGUGGCGUUCCGAGAGUACCCGAAGAAAAAGCAUCGGCUAACUCCGUGCCAGCAGCCGCGGUAAUACGGAGGAUGCGAGCGUGAUACGGAUUUAUUGGGGUUAAAGGGUGCGCAGGCGGAAGA